AGGACGAGAUGUUGUCAUUCUGUCUUCUAUUCUGCCCGCAUAGAGAUACGGCGGCUAAAGGCGUUAUUAAAGUUGCUCAUCCAAGCGCCCUCAUGUUUGUUCGUACUAAUUUUAAUGGACGGGAAGCCGACUGACGAACAUCCUUUUCCCGAGAAAUGGUUCGGCUACGACACAUGUUGAGAAGUCACGCCAGGGGCUGAAUUAAGGUCGACCGUUUCAGCUGCAUUGAUGUGAAGUGAUGCAGUGGACAACUUGUGAGGGUGAUACCAUCCACAUGCACCUUAACUGUGAUGCAGAAAUACAAUACACUCUUAAAAUGAAUGUGUUAAAUUAACACAUCUUGUGUCUAGUUAAGGACAACAAAUCUAGUGUGUUGUCCUUAAUUUAACACAUCUCUGUGUUAUUUUUGGAACAACACACUGUGGGGUGGUUUCCCGGACAAGGAUUAGCUUAAUCCCGGACUAGGCCUUAGUUUAAUUAGUUUGAACAAACAUGUCUCACUAAAAACAUUACCUGUGUGCAUUUUAAGGCAAAACAAAGGGCACUGAUGUAUUUUAAGAUAUAUAAGUGCAAGUUGUUUUCAGUUUGGACAGCUCUUAAAAAUGUUUUAGUCUAGGACUAGUCUAAUCCCUGUCCGGGAAACCGCCCCCAAGUUGUUUUAACACAUCUUGUGUUGUCCCUUUUAUUUUUUAUGAACUUAAAUGACACUUAAUGUGUUAAAAACAACACAUAAUGUGUUAAAUAGUUUAACACAAAGCAAUGUGUUAAAAUCAACACAUCCAGGGUGUGUUAAUUUUAACACAUUGCUUUUUGUUAAACUAUUUAACACAUUAUGUGUUAAUUUUAACACAUUAUGUGUUAAUUUUAACACAUUAUGUGUCAUUUCGUGCUGAUUUAGAGUUCAUAUAAAUAAAAGGGACAACACAAGAUGUGUUAAAACAACACAAAGUGUGUUGUCCUUAACUAGACACAAGAUGUGUUAAUUUAACACAUUCGUUUUAAGAGUGUAGGAUGAUCCAUCUGUCUACACUUCAAAAUCACAACUCAACCUUAAACAUCCCAUAUCUGUUAUGGUAAAACAAUGUGGCGGUUUUCCAGACAGGGCUUAUACUGUUCCCGGGCUAAAAUGCAUGUUUGAGCUACUGUAAUUAAGAAAACACCUUGUACUGACACAUCUCAACAUAUAUCAUUGCCAUUGUUUUGUUUCAAGAUGCACACCAGUCUUGUUUUGUAAGGUUUGUUUGUAAAAACUAAAAUGUCCUAAUAUAAGUGCCCAGUCCUGGUUUAAUCUAAACCAUUGGUGACCAAACCUGUGUCUUGAGAUCUACUGUCCUGCAGAGUUCAGCUCCAACCCCAAUCAAACACACCUGAACCUGCCAAUCAAGCAUUUCAGGGCAACCUUAAAAUUAUAGUCAGGUGUGUUUAAAGCUGGGUUAGAACUAAAAUAUGCAGGAGGGUAGAUCUCCAGGAACAGGGUUGGUCACCCCUGAUCUAAACAAAGGGUUUCCAAACUGUGUCCUGCAAAGUUUAGCUCUAACCCUAAUCAAAAAACACACGAAGCAGCCAAUUAAGGUCUUAUCAAGCACACUAGAAACUUACUGGCAGGUGCUCUGAUGCAAGUAAGAGCUAAACUCUGCAGGACACCGGCCCUCCAGGACUGAGUUUGGGUACCCCUGACUAAGCCCUGCCUGGGAAACUGCACCAAUGUGUUGAGCUGGCACCAUUGGACAUUACUGUUGCUGAGAAACAACCACUUUCUCAGCUCUACACAGGGUUGACAUUGGAUGCAUUA